CCUAAUGGUUGCUUCCAACUAGACCUGAAAAUUUGGGGUGAUAUACAGGGCAAGAACUAUAAUUCCUGUAUCCCCUCAGGCUCUGCUUACCCACCCACAAGUUGCCUAGAAAACUCCACAUUUUUUGCCAACUCUUCAAGUCACUUUUCUCUCAAGCUUGUAUUAGAGAAUAGGUUACCUGUUCCCCUGAAAUCCUAUUCAUCUCCCACCUGAUUAUUGGCAACUUAAUUUAUUUUAGUGCCCCAGUGGAGCCUGGCCAGUAGUAGGCAGUCAAUGAAUAUGGACAGAAGAAAGGAAGGGUGGAUGGGAAGGAAAGGAGGAAUGGCAGGAGGGAGGGAAGGGAAAACCUGUGGCCCCAAGUCAUUGUGAAAUUCACACUGAAGAAUGAAAUUCACACUAAAGGAUGCAGCAAAACCCAUAAGAAUCACUUGUGAAGGAAACGAAAAUGAUGAGAGAGUUGGAAAAAUUAGAUCUUAACCCCGAGAUUCAACAGAGAGAAGCUAGUGCUGUGUCUCUGAGUGGGAUUCAAGUGCAGUGUUAAGAGGAAUGGCCCAAAGGGCAGUUUAACUGAAUGGAACUUUGGCAAAGGCAAGGUGCCACAGCAACCCCCAAAUCUUGGGAGAGGGUCUUUGGGGGCUUUGGACUUUGAUCACACUGAAACUCCAAGUGAACGUGACUUUUCUACAGUCACUACUCAUUUUUCCUGUUCAUCUCCCACUUGAUUAUGGGCAACUUAAUUUAUCUUAGUGCCGCAGUGGACACUGGCAAGUAGUAGACAGUCAAUGAAUACGGACAGAAGAAAGGAAGGGAGGAUGGGAAGGAAAGGAGAGAGGGAAGGGAUAGAGGGAGAGAGGAGCUUAGCGUGUUGAAAGCAUGUGUACAGAAACAAAUGAAACAAAAAUCAAAUGAACAGCAGGACCCGGCUCAAGAGACAGCCGAAAUGCCAGAAAAUUGUGUGGAAUCUCUGAAGAAUGCAAUGGGCUCAGCUCAAUGGUGAAGAGGUCUCCUAUGUCCCUUGUGGCCAAGACAAACCAGGCAAACCUGAGGCUGGACACACAGAACAGAUAUUUUUCUCCUCUUUUUCUUGCAUCUCCAAAAUUUCUAACUUCCUCUUGUAUGAAGGCACCUAGACUUAGUGAGUUUCCCUUUGUGACUUGGAAGUUGUGGGAAGGGAGAAUCAGUCAGGAAAUGAGGUGUCAGUAGGCUCUUUAGCAAACUCAGCCAGUAGAUGGCUAAAAAAGGACUUGGUUACUUUGGGUCCAUUUUGUCUAUCCAUGGGAUACGACCAUGAGCGCGGGGAAGAGCUCUCUACCUGAGCAUGUGGACUGAAAAGAGUAGAACCUUGGGGGAUCCUGAAGGAAGAGGGGAAACCAGGAAAACAGAGGAAGUUAACUUAGGAGGGGUAAGGGAAGAAGAAUGCAAGAUUGACGUUGCAGAAGCCAGAGGCCAGGGCUAAGAACAGGGUAAGGGACUUUUGAGAAAGGAGUAGCAGAGCAUUCACAUUAGAUAAGUUCUGAAAGGUGUCCACUGAGCCUGGGUUUGUUAUCUAGAAGGUGACCUACUGUAAACUUUGCCAGAGCAUUUUCAGUGGUGAAGAAGUGAGACCUUUGGCUCCCAGUGAAGGGAGCAAGCCCAGUUAGGUUUCUUUAACAAGCUUGGCCAGGAAGAUGGAGCAGUUGCUAGAGACGAUGGAAGGUCAAGGGAGACCUUUGCUUCCUCCACAACUGUGGCAGGCUCUGGGGCACCUUCAUAAGCUGCACAAAGAGAGCCUGAUGAGAGAGGUGUUAAGUGCAUGGAGAGCCUGGCUACUGGUUUCCUGAUGCCUUCAGCAGGCAUAAAUCACCUACAGAGGCAGUGGCAACAUGGUCCUCGUUUUUCCUCCGAAAAAGCUUUCCUCAUUUUCUCAACAUUUUGGAUUCCAAGACAAAGUGGUUAAUAAAACCAGUAGUUCUGUUUCAGUUUUGUUCUGGUUCUGUCUCUGGGGUUGUCUUGGUGCCUGGUUUUCUUUGGUUCCAAUGAAUAAUGUGUCAUUUUUUAAAACUCUUUUAGCUUCUUACACUUUUGGGCUUCUUUUAUAAUAUUCCCUGAUCAGGGGUGAGCCCUUCAUCACCAGAUUAAAUUUUGCUUACCUUGGAUCACUAUCAGGCAAAAUUGGUUUUAAUGGAUUAUCUCAACCAAUGGUAUCCAGAAGAUGCCAGGACUGGAAAGCACCAGCCAUCGCUUGAGCAUCAUCUGGGAGCUCAUUAGAAAUCCCUAUUCCUGGGCUCCCCAGACUGGGGCUAAGAAUCUGCAUUUUACCAAGAUCCCCAGGUGACUCAUAAGCACAUUAAAGUUUGAAAAGCAUCAGUUAGAUGGCGAGUAUGUAACAGCUCCAUCUUAGCAGGUUUCCAAAGAAACCCAUUGGCUCAGGUACACAGUUUUAUCCUUCACCCUAUUUGAUUUAUGAUAGCCAGGGUUGAACUACCACAGAGAUUGUUUGGUUGGGUUCUUUUCAUUCUUUCAGAGAGGGACAGAAAAGGAGAUUACUGAGUCUGCAGAUAAAGGGAAACCCUGUUGGAGGUCAUGGGACUAUAGGAAUAUGUCUCAUCUGCUCGGUGUGGAGUCUGUCAUCCUGCUGCCCACCUCUUGUGAAUGCAUGUGGCCCAGUUUUCUGAGAAAAGAAAAAUGUGUAAAUAGAAAACAUGUGAGGGAGCUCUAGUUUUCAUCCUAAGACUUACAGAUGCGAAAUGCAACCCCAUAAUGGUAAUUACCAAUGGAGUUUCAAGUACUAAGGAAGAAACAAAAACCUGUUUUGAUAACUCCUAUGAUAUAUUAGCAAGUUCAUUUUGGACAGGAAUGGGAGGAAGCCAUUAAGAGAAAUAACACUAGUGUGUUUUAUGGCAUUCUAGCAGCAGGCAGCGCCUCAUCUGUCUGUGGUCUCCUACUGAGAGCCCACACAGGUGAUGGCCCAGGAUGGAAAUAGGACAGGCUUUCACCAAGAAGCCCUUCUCUUCUGCAUUGCAUUAUAGUGUGGUGAAAUGCAUUAAUUGCAACUGCUUCUGUUUGGAGAAUGGGGGAAAUAAGUGAUCUAUCAUUUAAAUGAAAUGCACAUCACUUUGGUGGCCAUUAACUUAGUCCUUGGAAGUGACUAGGUGUUUGGGGGCAUGUGAGAGCACACAAAAAGCUUGAAUUAAAUGUUUUGAAUAAUG
rnacentral:lncRNA from 1 species